rnacentral:tRNA from 2 species
GGGCGAUUAGCUCAGUUGGCCAGAGCGCUACAUUGACGUUGUAGAGGCCGCAGGUUCGAGCCCUGCAUCGCCCACAA